rnacentral:rRNA from 1 species
UACGAAGGGGGCUAGCGUUGUUCGGAAUUACUGGGCGUAAAGGGCUCGUAGGUGGCCAACUAAGUCAGACGUGAAAUCCCUCGGCUUAACCGGGGAACUGCAUCUGAUACUGGAUGGCUUGGGUUUGGGAGAGGGACGCGGAAUUCCAGGUGUAGCGGUGAAAUGCGCAGAUAUCAGGAGGAACACCGGUGGCGAAGGCGGGUCUCUGGGCCGAUACUGACGCUGAGGAGCGAAAGCAUGGGUAGCGAACAGG